rnacentral:rRNA from 1 species
AACGAACGCUGGCGGCAUGCCUAACACAUGCAAGUCGAACGAGACCUUCGGGUCUAGUGGCGCACGGGUGCGUAACGCGUGGGAACCUGCCCUUAGGUUCGGAAUAACUCCCCGAAAGGGGUGCUAAUACCGGAUAAUGUCUUCGGACCAAAGAUUUAUCGCCUUUGGAUGGGCCCGCGUUGGAUUAGCUAGUUGGUAGGGUAAAAGCCUACCAAGGCGACGAUCCAUAGCUGGUCUGAGAGAAUGAUCAGCCACACUGGGACUGAGACACGGCCCAGACUCCUACGGGAGGCAGCAGUGGGGAAUAUUGGACAAUGGGCGAAAGCCUGAUCCAGCAAUGCCGCGUGAGUGAUGAAGGCCUUAGGGUUGUAAAGCUCUUUUACCCGGGAUGAUAAUGACAGUACCGGGAGAAUAAGCUCCGGCUAACUCCGUG